rnacentral:rRNA from 1 species
CCUACGGGAGGCAGCAGUGAGGAAUAUUGGUCAAUGGCCGGAAGGCUGAACCAGCCAAGCCGCGUGAGGGAGGAAGGCGCAGAGCGUCGCAGACCUCUUUUGCCGGGGGACAAAAGGCCGGACUCGUCCGGUCCUGAGGGUACCCGGAGAAAAAGAAUCGGCUAACUCCGUGCCAGCAGCCGCGGUACUACGGGGGAUGAGAGCGUUAUCCGGAUUCAUGGGGGUUAAAGGGUGCGCAGGGGGGCGUUUAAGUCGGCGGUGAAAUCGCGGGGCUCAACCCCGCCGAGCCGUCGGAACUGGGGGCCUUGAGUGCGGCGGAGGCGUGCGGAAUGCGCGGUGUAGCGGUGAAAGGCAUAGAUAUCGCGCAGAACCCCGAUUGCGAAGGCAGCGUGCCGUGCCGCCACUGACGCUGAGGCACGAAAGCGCGGGGAUCGAACAGGAUUAGAUACCCUUGUAGUC